CUAAUGGAACACCUUUACAAUAAGUUUGUACCCUUUCACACAACUCCAUGUAUUCCACCGGAGGAUGCUUUUGUUUGAAGGCUUUCAUACUCAACAACUGAAAAGCAUCACUACAAUCCAAUCCCUUAACCUCAUAGAUUUUGUCAACACUGCUAAGAACUUGUUUGUCUCUGCUUGUUAUUAUGACUCUACUUCCUGAACCAAACCAACCAUGAUCUCCAGCCAAAGCCUUUAAUUGCUUUGAAUCGUUGACAUCAUCAAGAACAAUGAAAACCUUCUUUCUUCUAAGUAUAUCCAGAACAAUAGUGGGAAGCACAUGGAGCAUUUGUAUGCUUAAAUGUUUGUCCCCUACAAGUUCGGAAAAAAGUUUUUGUCGUAAAUGCAGUAAUUCAUGCUUUUCUGCAUUUUCCCUAACAUUACUUAGAAAGUAGCAAACAUCAAAUUCAUCAGAAAUUUGACUAAAAAGAACUUCAGUAGUGGUUGUCUUUCCUAUGCCGCCCAUUCCCCAAAUUCCUAUAAAACGAACAUCUGCUGUCUCAAUACAUAAUAAUGGUAGAAUUUUGUUGAUGUGAGCAUCAAUCCCAACUAAACCAUGACAAGCACUAAAGGAGAUGGGACACAGUUUCUUCAUGAUUUGGUUGACAACUUUGUCAAUUAAUUUCGAUUCAAGCCUUGCAAAACAUGAUAAACAAAGCAAAGUAAUAAUGAGUUUAAUUUGAGAUACAAAGAAACUUGAAAACUUCGAAGGCAUUUGAAUUUGAACUUAAUUUCAGUGAUUGAAAAUUAGCCCAAAAAUAUAUCUAUCAUAAAUAAAUAAAUAAAUAAAACUUUAUAUAUUAUCUAUUGAAACAUAAAUCUAGAUUUACACUUAUUUCAGCAAAUAUAUCCAUCUAAAGGACCCACAUUAUAUUUUUAAAUGAGGCAUCUAGAUUUACACUUAUCAUAUGAGAUGUUACAUGUAUGAAUCGAUUUACUAACUACUUCAGGAAAUUUGAUAGGUUCAAGCAAUUUGUUUAAAUUUUAAAAUUUUUUAUGUUCUAGUGAUAAUUAAAAUAGAUAAAAUAAAUGAACUGAAUUAAACAAAACCAGUUGCCUGGUCUAGUUUCCGAUAUAACCAGUCCAACCGGCCGGUUUGCUCCAACUGUGAAAACGCUAACCUGUAGUUGCUGGAAUCCCAUCCAGAUAUAUUGGAUGCUUCCAUCAAAGAAGUGCUGCACUUCUCCACAACGUCUAAGCUCUGCUUAAAUUUUAGGCAAUAUUUCUAUAUAAAGGACACUCGUUGUAUUUAUCCAUAAAUGAGCUAUCUGGCACAUUAUUAACCAAAGGCAUGCUUGUGACGAGAAGUUACCUGUAGAAAUGGCUUUAAAACCAGAUUGAUCAUUGAAUCGAUUUAUUAACUAUUUCAAGGUUUUGAAAGGUUUAAGCAAUUUAGUUAAGUAAAAAAACUGGUUAAAUAUAAUUUAAAUUUUGAAAAUUUUUUAUUUUUCAAGAGGGAAUUAAAAAUAAAUAAAUCGAAUUAGACCAAACCAGUUUCCUGGUCUAAUUCCUGAUUUAACCAGUCCAACCGACCAGUUUGGUCUAAUUCUAGAAACACUAACCUGUAGUUUUUGGAAUCCCAUCCAGAUAGAUUGGCUGCUUCCAUCAAAGCAGUGCUCCACUUCUCCACAAUGUCCAAGCGCUGCUUAAAUUUUUCUUUAACUUUCCCAAAUGCUUCUCCAAAUUUCCCAGUCUGUUUUCUAACAUCGGAAGGAUUUACACGGUAGAAAAUGGGUAAAACCUUUCGCCCUAAUUUUUUCUCGCAGUCAAUUAUCUUCACUAGUUCAUCUAGGCACCACCGAGAGGAUGCAUAAUUUUCUGAGAAAAUUACU
rnacentral:misc_RNA from 1 species